AACGAACGCUGGCGGCAGGCUUAACACAUGCAAGUCGAACGCCCCGCCAGGGGUGUGGCAGAAGGGUGAGUAACGCGUGGGAACAUACCCUUUUCUACGGAAUAGCUCUGGGAAACUGGAAUUAAUACCGUAUACGCCCUACGGGGGAAAGAUUUAUCGGGGAAGGAUUGGCCCGCGUUGGAUUAGCUAGUUGGUGGGGUAAAGGCCUACCAAGGCGACGAUCCAUAGCUGGUCUGAGAGGAUGAUCAGCCACAUUGGGACUGAGACACGGCCCAAACUCCUACGGGAGGCAGCAGUGGGGAAUAUUGGACAAUGGGCGCAAGCCUGAUCCAGCCAUGCCGCGUGAGUGAUGAAGGCCUUAGGGUUGUAAAGCUCUUUCACCGAUGAAGAUAAUGACGGUAGUCGGAGAAGAAGCCCCGGCUAACUUCGUG
rnacentral:rRNA from 1 species